GACGAACGCUGGCGGCGUGCUUAACACAUGCAAGUCGAACGGAAAGGCCCUGCUUUUGUGGGGUGCUCGAGUGGCGAACGGGUGAGUAACACGUGAGUAACCUGCCCUUGACUUUGGGAUAACUUCAGGAAACUGGGGCUAAUACCGGAUAGGAGCUCCAGCUGCAUGGUGGGGGUUGGAAAGUUUCGGCGGUUGGGGAUGGACUCGCGGCUUAUCAGCUUGUUGGUGGGGUAGUGGCUUACCAAGGCUUUGACGGGUAGCCGGCCUGAGAGGGUGACCGGCCACAUUGGGACUGAGAUACGGACCAGACUCCUACGGGAGGCAGCAGUGGGGAAUAUUGCACAAUGGGCGGAAGCCUGAUGCAGCAACGCCGCGUGCGGGAUGACGGCCUUCGGGUUGUAAACCGCUUUCGCCUGUGACGAAGCGUGAGUGACGGUAAUGGGUAAAGAAGCACCGGCUAACUACGUG
rnacentral:rRNA from 1 species